CUAUUAUUAUUAUUAUUAUCAACAACGACGACGACAACGACGACGAUGAUGAUGACAACAACGACAACCCAAAGGAAGGAAAAGGAUGAGAUGAUGCUAGGAAAAGAAAGGACUGUUUCUUCAACAGCCCAACUCUCCCUACCAGGGUGGUGUGAUGGAAGAAAGAGCAGCCGACAGGUGAGGCCUGCUCAGGAUAUCCGAAAGCACAGAAAAACACAGAUAUUACUGCAGAACCUAGUACACUGAGGAAAACUAAUGAUGCACCAGGAAGAAGGCAACAUAAGUGGGUGCUUCUUCAUAGAUCCAGUCCCUGAGGUAUGUAAUCCUACAGCUACAAGCUAUUAUAGGAAACAGAGUGUUGAAUGAUACAGUGUAAGAGGAAAAUGUAUAACAACAAUGCAUCUCCUUUUAACUGCACAGCAUUCUUGCAACUUCAUAAUGACAUUUUUGGAACUAGGAAAAGACAGGAUCUAAGGGUCCUCAGUUCACAUGUAUCUCACUAACAAUGCACAGUUCAUACAGAAUACAUCCUUCCUACAUGCAAUCCAUUUCCAUGAAUUUCUUAGAUCCGUUUUUGCAGCUUGGUCUCCCAUGUUCAGGAGAAGGUGCACAUGAUAUUCUUAUUUUAAGUGGAGCCCAUUUAAUCCGUCAACCACUUGAGAUUAUCUUUUUCCCCCCACCCCCUGCCUGUCCACCCCCCCACUGAAACCCUGUUUUUCUUUUCCUCCUUCCCCCACCUCCUCGCCACUGCUUGACCAGCAGAACACACCUCUUUGGAAGCAAUGGGCAGCUGCUGAAUAAUCACUAUUCCCUCCAUCAAUUUGCCACGUAGGGUAGAUAGCCGGCUCAAAUGCUCAAACCCCCCGCCCCCCGAAUGCAGGAGAGCAGCUGAAUGAUCAAAGACACGUUUCUCAUGAAUCUCUCAUGAGGUUACUCUGUGGGACAUUCGCUACAUAAAUCAACCCAUAACGCACACCAUGUUAAAAUAAAAAAAACCAUGUACCUCCA
rnacentral:lncRNA from 1 species